rnacentral:rRNA from 1 species
GAUGAACGCUAGCGGCAGGCCUAAUACAUGCAAGCUGAACGGCAAGAUUGGUAGCAAUACUGAUCCUAGAGUAGCGUAAGGGUGCGUAACACGUAUGCAAUCUACCCGCAACAGGAGGAUAGCUCUCCGAAAGGGGAAUUAAGACUCCAUAAUAUCAUUUGAGGGCAUCUGAAGAUGAUUAAACUACAAGGGGUUGUGGAUGAGCAUGCGUCUGAUUAGUUAGUUGGCGGGUAACGGCCCACCAAGACAAUGAUCAGGUAGGGGAACUGAGA